AUGUCAGAUGAACUACUGACAGAGAUACUAAAAUUGGAACGAUACAGAGAUUAGCAUGGCCCCUGCGCAAGGAUGACAUGCAAAUUCGUGAAGCGUUCCAUAUUAAA